UACGUAGGCAGCGAGCGUUUGUUCGGAGUUACUGGGCGUAAAGGGUGUGUAGGCGGUUCUUUAAGUUUGGUGUGAAAUCCCCUCGGCUUAACCGGGGAACUGCGUCUGAUACUGGAUGGCUUGAGUUUGGGAGAGGGAUGCGGAAUUCCAGGUGUAGCGGUGAAAUGCGUAGAUAUCUGGAGGAACACCGGUGGCGAAGGCGGCAUCCUGGACCAAUACUGACGCUGAGGAGCGAAAGCCAGGGGAGCAA
rnacentral:rRNA from 1 species